AACGAACGCUGGCGGCGUGCCUAACACAUGCAAGUCGUGCGGGAAAGUGGGGGCAACUCCACGAGUACAGCGGCGCACGGGUGAGUAACACGUAGGUAACCUACCUCCGAGACUGGGAUAACCUGUCGAAAGACGGGCUAAUACCGGAUAAUACCAUUGGGGCUGCGGCCUUGGUGGUAAAAGGUGGCCUCUUCUUGAAAGCUACCACUCGAAGAUGGGCCUGCGCACCAUUAGCUUGUUGGCGGGGUAACGGCCCACCAAGGCAAAGAUGGUUAGCUGGUCUGAGAGGAUGGCCAGCCACACUGGGACUGAGACACGGCCCAGACUCCUACGGGAGGCAGCAGUGGGGAAUAUUGCGCAAUGGGCGAAAGCCUGACGCAGCGACGCCGCGUGGGUGAUGAAGGCCUUCGGGUCGUAAAGCCCUGUCGGGAGGGACGAAACCUCGGCGACCUAAUACGUCGUCGACCUGACGGUACCUCCGAAGGAAGCACCGGCUAACUCCGUGCCAGCAGCCGCAGUAAUAC
rnacentral:rRNA from 1 species